GCGGCGGUGGCGGGUAUGGCGGCGCGCCGCGUACGCCGCCGCCGAUGCCGCCGGCCGGCGUUCAACCGCCGCCGCCGCG
rnacentral:tRNA from 1 species